UAAUAAGUGUUCUAUGGCACUUUUUAAAUCCAUAUCCACCUUGUGUGCAAUGUCAGUCGAUCUUCUUCAUGGAGAUCGACCAAACAUCAACCUUUAUCUUCUAACUCUUUGUCUGAAAAAUAUUAUGAAUAAACAAUUCAAAAUA
rnacentral:misc_RNA from 1 species